GCCGUGAUCGUAUAGUGGUUAUUACGUUUCGUUGUGGACGCAGCAACCUCGGUUCAAAUCCGAGUCACGGCA
rnacentral:tRNA from 1 species